rnacentral:rRNA from 1 species
GUCCACGCCGUAAACGAUGGAUACUAGAUGUCGGGAGUUCUUACCCUCUCGGUGUCGUCGCUAACGCAUUAAGUAUCCCGCCUGGGAAGUACGGUCGCAAGAUUAAAACUCAAAGAAAUUGACGGGGGCCCGCACAAGCGGUGGAGUAUGUGGUUUAAUUCGAUGCAACGCGAAAAACCUUACCUGGGCUUGACAUCCGGUGCUAUCCGGUGAAAGCCGGAGUUCCCUUCGGGGACGCCGAGACAGGUGCUGCAUGGCUGUCGU